rnacentral:rRNA from 1 species
AUUGAACGCUGGCGGCAUGCCUUACACAUGCAAGUCGAACGGCAGCACGGGUGCUUGCACCUGGUGGCGAGUGGCGAACGGGUGAGUAAUACAUCGGAACGUACCUUAUCGUGGGGGAUAACGCAGCGAAAGCUGUGCUAAUACCGCAUACGCCCUGAGGGGGAAGGCGGGGGAUCGAAAGACCUCGCGCGAUUAGAGCGGCCGAUGCCUGAUUAGCCAGUUGGUGAGGUAAAGGCUCACCAAGGCAACGAUCAGUAGCUGGCCUGAGAGGACGAUCAGCCACACUGGGACUGAGACACGGCCCAGACUCCUACGGGAGGCAGCAGUGGGGAAUUUUGGACAAUGGGGGCAACCCUGAUCCAGCAAUGCCGCGUGAGUGAAGAAGGCCUUCGGGUUGUAAAGCUCUUUUGUCAGGGAAGAAACAGCAGCUCUAACACAGUUUGCGAAUGACGGUACCUGAAGAAUAAGCACCGGCUAACUACGUGCCAGCCGCCGCCGUAA